rnacentral:rRNA from 1 species
GGACUACUGGGGUUUCUAAUCCUGUUUGCUCCCCACGCUUUCGCACCUCAGCGUCAGUAUCGGGCCAGUGAGCCGCCUUCGCCACUGGUGUUCUUGCGAAUAUCUACGAAUUUCACCUCUACACUCGCAGUUCCACUCACCUCUCCCGAACUCUAGGUCCUCAGUAUCAAAGGCAGUUCUGGAGUUGAGCUCCAGGAUUUCACCCCUGACUUAAAGACCCGCCUACGUGCGCUUUACGCCCAGUGAUUCCGAGCAACGCUAGCCCCCUUCGUAUUACCGCGGCUGCUGCAC